AUACUUGCCUGACAGGGGAGACGGCGUGAUCAGGAAGGUAGUUUUCUCGUGGCGUUUCAUCUGUUGCUGUGUGGGUGUGUAUGACCCCUGAGGUUUACCCAGAAGUAGGAAACGUAUCUGCAUAAUUUUGGGGUGGGGAGUGUGUUCACCCUG
rnacentral:snRNA from 13 species